UACAGAGGUCCCAAGCGUUGUUCGGAUUCACUGGGCGUAAAGGGUGCGUAGGUGGCGGGGAAAGUUUGAUGUGAAAUCUCCGAGCUUAACUCGGAAACUGCAUUGAAUACUGCUCUGCUUGAGGGUUGGAGGGGGGACUGGAAUUCUCGGUGUAGCGGUGAAAUGCGUAGAUAUCGAGAGGAACACCAGUGGCGAAGGCGAGUCCCUGGACAACUCCUGACACUGAGGCACGAAAGCUAGGGGAGCAAACAGG
rnacentral:rRNA from 1 species